rnacentral:rRNA from 1 species
GAUGAACGCUGGCGGCGUGCCUAAUACAUGCAAGUCGAGCGAACAGACGAGGAGCUUGCUCCUCUGACGUUAGCGGCGGACGGGUGAGUAACACGUGGAUAACCUACCUAUAAGACUGGGAUAACUUCGGGAAACCGGAGCUAAUACCGGAUAAUAUAUUGAACCGCAUGGUUCAAUAGUGAAAGACGGUUUUGCUGUCACUUAUAGAUGGAUCCGCGCCGCAUUAGCUAGUUGGUAAGGUAACGGCUUACCAAGGCAACGAUGCGUUGCCGACCUGAGAGGGUGAUCGGCCACACUGGAACUGAGACACGGUCCAGACUCCUACGGGAGGCAGCAGUAGGGAAUCUUCCGCAAUGGGCGAAAGCCUGACGGAGCAACGCCGCGUGAGUGAUGAAGGUCUUCGGAUCGUAAAACUCUGUUAUUAGGGAAGAACAAAUGUGUAAGUAACCAUGCACGUCUUGACGGUACCUAAUCAGAAAGCCACGGCUAACUACGUG